rnacentral:rRNA from 1 species
CGCGUAGGUGGUUAUGUAAGUUAGAUGUGAAAGCCCUCGGCUCAACCGAGGAACUGCAUUUAAUACUGCAAAACUAGAGUGUAAGAGGGAGAGACGGAAUGGCGAGUGGAGCAGUGAAAUGCGUUGAUAUUCGUUGGAACACCGGUGGCGAAGGCGGUCUCUUGGCUUACUACUGACGCUAAGGCGCGAAAGCGUGGGGAGCAAACA